GUACGUUGCACUCUUGGGGUUUCCUGAGAGUAUGUCUGCUUCAGUGCUUAGC
rnacentral:rRNA from 1 species